UAGGGAAUCUUCCGCAAUGGGCGAAAGCCUGACGGAGCAACGCCGCGUGAGUGAUGAAGGUCUUCGGAUCGUAAAACUCUGUUAUUAGGGAAGAACAAAUGUGUAAGUAACUAUGCACAUCUUGACGGUACCUAAUCAGAAAGCCACGGCUAACUACGUGCCAGCAGCCGCGGUAAUACGCAGGUGGCAAGCGUUAUCCGGAAUUAUUGUGCGUAAAGCGCGCGUAGGCGGUUUUUUAAGUCUGAUGUGAAAGCCCACGGCUCAACCGUGGAGAGUCAUUGGAAACUGGAAAACUUGAGUGCUGAAGAGAAAAGUGGAAUUCCAAGUGUUACGGUGAAAUGCGCAGAGAUAUGGAGGAACACCAGUGGCGAAGGCGACUUUCUGGUCUGUAACUGACGCUGAUGUGCGAAAGCGUGGGGAUCAAACAGG
rnacentral:rRNA from 1 species